UACCCAUGUUGAGGACAAGCGGUUAGAUAGCUCCUGCAUCGUUCCCAAGAUUGAUAAAAUAACUCAUUCUCUUUUUGAUAAAAAUUUACAAUUUGGCGUUUGAGAAG